AUGAACAUCAACAGCUUGGUGGGCGCAUUGCCCUGCCUAAGUACCAAUGACUACCCUUGCCAGUCAGGUUUUAACAUAAAGCUCUGUACAGUACCUAACGACAUUCUUGAGAUUGUUACACAGAUUGCAAGAGAAGAUCACUUUAUAAAGAACAACCAUCGCCCUGACUUGAUUCAUCGCCUUUCGGUUCACUAUGAAGGCCAACCUCACCAAGCUGAGAAGGAAGUAAAUGUCACUCGUUCGCAGGCUUGUUGGAAUAUUUGUGGCCACCAAGCAACAGUUGAACAGUCCAAUGCCACUCAAGAGUUUUUGGAGUCACUUCCGUCGUCAAGUCACUCGGGGAUUCUGAAAGUGCUUGACCUAGAAAACUGCGAUGAAUUGAAGGACCACCAUCUGAAAAACAUUUGCAAUUAUGUAUUUCACCUCAAGUACUUGAGCCUCCGGUAUACUGACAUUACUGAACUACCGAAGCAGCUCGACAAGCUUCAGUCCCUAGAGACCUUGGACAUUCGUGACACAAAUGUAAAAGCAUUCGCCAAAAAUUCAGUUUUUCUGCCGAAGCUAAAGCAUCUACUUGCCGGGUACUGGACUUCUGAAGAGAUUGAUGUAAAUGGUAACAACGUCCAAUCAAAGGAGAUGUUAUCCACGGUGGCAAUGCCCAAACAUAUCGGCAACAUGACAGAAUUGCAGGUGAUAUCUCAUAUUGCAGCCUCUGGCGAUGGCAGUGAACUAAAAUAUGUUGGCUACCUACUCCAGCUGGUUAAGUUGGGUGUGUUCGUCUCUGGAAGUACAACAUUAGUCUUGAGGCAUUUGUACUAUGCAACUGGAAAUCUUGGGUUUCUGCUCACUGUCAAUCCAAGUUGCAGAAACCGAAGAAGAGAAUGA
rnacentral:rRNA from 1 species